rnacentral:rRNA from 1 species
UACGUAGGGGGCAAGCGUUGUCCGGAAUCAUUGGGCGUAAAGCGCGUGUAGGCGGUUCGGUAAGUCUGCUGUGAAAGUCCAGGGCUCAACCCUGGGAUGCCGGUGGAUACUGUCGGACUAGAGUACGGAAGAGGCGAGUGGAAUUCCCGGUGUAGCGGUGAAAUGCGCAGAUAUCGGGAGGAACACCAAUUGCGAAGGCAGCUCGCUGGGACGUUACUGACGCUGAGACGCGAAAGCGUGGGUAGCAAACGGG